GGAUGGAAGGACAAUCUGGCUGCGAUGGCUGGCAGCACACUGAUUGAUUGCCAGGGUUGAGUCAGCUGAUCUGGCUGGCUAGGUAGGGGUCCCUUUCCUCCCUCACUGCCCCAUGUAUGUCCCAUUCAAAGCUGCAUGCUUGGUUGGUUGAAGAGGACAACCUUCCCCAAAAGAAGAAGACCAUUCUUUUGUUAAAGGGUAUGUACAUGAGUAUCUGUCGUUCCCUGCUAGAAUCAACAAAUAAGUUCCCAAAGGUAUCUUGAAAGCAAAAGAAAGGAGCUGUUUCUUAACAUGUAAGGGAAUUCCCU
rfam:Tupaia chinensis contig237214, whole genome shotgun sequence.